CAUGACUCAGGAUGAACGCUUAAUACGUGCAAGUCACAUGCAAGUCGAACAGAGGUCUGUAGCGAUAAACGGUGAGUGGCGAACGGGUGAGUAACCCCGGAGAGCGUGAUAACAAGUGGGGGAUAUCAGUCAGAAAGCAUGAGCAGUAGAGCAUAGCAGAUCUGGAUUAGAUGCAGGAUAUCCCAAGACUUCGGUCGCUUCGGGAGGGGCCUGCGUCCCAUCAGCUAGUUGGCAAGGUAAAAGCUUACCAAGGCGAUGACGGGUAGGGGACCUGAGAGGGUGGCCCCCCACAAUGGAACUGAAACACGGUCCAUACACCUACGGGUGGCAGCAGUAGGGAAUAUUGGUUAAUGUGCGAAAGCGCGAACCAGCAACGCCGCGUGUGCGAUGAAGGCCUUCGGGUUGUAAAGCACUUUUUGAGGGGAUGAGGAAGGACAGUACCGUCAGAAUAAGUCUCGGCUAACUACGUGCCAGCAGCCGCGGUAACACGUAGGAGACGAGCGUUAUCCGGAUUUACUGGGUGUAAAGCGCGUGCAGGCGGUUCAGCAAGUUGGAUGUGAAAGCUCCCGGCUCAACUGGGAGAGGUCGUUCAAAACUACUGGACUUGAGAGCAGUAGAGGGAGGUGGAAUUCCGGGUGUAGUGGUGAAAUGCGUAGAUAUCCGGAGGAACACCAGUGGCGAAAGCGGCCUCCUGGACCGCAUCUGACGCUCAGACGCGAAAGCUAGGGGAGCAAACGGGAUUAGAGACCCCGGUAGUCCUAGCUGUAAACGAUGUAGACUUGGCGUUGGAGGGGUUAAAUCGAUCAGUGCCGAAGCAAACGCGAUAAGUUUACCGCCUGGGGACUACGGCCGCAAGGUUAAAACUCAAAGGAAUUGACGG
rnacentral:rRNA from 1 species